UCGGGGUACACGAGCGGCGAACGGGUGAGUAACACGUGGGUGAUCUGCCCUGCACUUCGGGAUAAGCCUGGGAAACUGGGUCUAAUACCGGAUAUGACCUUCGGCUGCAUGGCUGAGGGUGGAAAGGUUUACUGGUGCAGGAUGGGCCCGCGGCCUAUCAGCUUGUUGGUGGGGUAAUGGCCUACCAAGGCGACGACGGGUAGCCGACCUGAGAGGGUGACCGGCCACACUGGGACUGAGACACGGCCCAGACUCCUACGGGAGGCAGCAGUGGGGAAUAUUGCACAAUGGGCGAAAGCCUGAUGCAGCGACGCCGCGUGAGGGAUGACGGCCUUCGGGUUGUAAACCUCUUUCAGCAGGGACGAAGCGAAAGUGACGGUACCUGCAGAAGAAGCACCGGCCAACUACGUGCCAGCAGCCGCGGUAAUACGUAGGGUGCAAGCGUUGUCCGGAAUUACUGGGCGUAAAGAGCUCGUAGGCGGUUUGUCGCGUCGUCUGUGAAAACUCGAGGCUCAACCUCGAGCUUGCAGGCGAUACGGGCAGACUUGAGUACUGCAGGGGAGACUGGAAUUCCUGGUGUAGCGGUGAAAUGCGCAGAUAUCAGGAGGAACACCGGUGGCGAAGGCGGGUCUCUGGGCAGUAACUGACGCUGAGGAGCGAAAGCGUGGGUAGCGAACAGGAUUAGAUACCCUGGUAGUCCACGCCGUAAACGGUGGGCGCUAGGUGUGGG
rnacentral:rRNA from 1 species